rnacentral:tRNA from 4 species
UCCACGAUAGCUCAAUCGGCAGAGCGGGUGGCUGUUAACCACUAGGUUCCAGGUUCGAGUCCUGGUCGUGGAGCCA